AGUGUGUGGGGUGAGGCGAGACG
rnacentral:miRNA from 1 species